rnacentral:lncRNA from 1 species
CAUCUGAAAGUGAAAAGUUAAUCUUUUUGUGUUUUUUUUUUCUUGAUUCCCAGAUCCGACUACGCAAAAGAGCGCAACACCCAAGACGGCCGGAGAGCGAUGUUGUCAUCGUCGACAACAAGCGUUCACGUCAUGGCCCUGGACGGCCUGGUCAACGUGAACUCACUCUUCACCAUCGCCGUCUUCGUGGGGCUUUCUCUGGCGACUCCGGGACAGAGGAGCCUCGAGAACCGGACAUCCUGCGACGCCGGGAUCGACGUGGCGAAGGAGCUGCUGGUGUUCGAGGUUGUCUCCUUCAGCUUCUUCCUGUUCUCAUCGCUGGUGGCGCAGGGACUGAAGCUGGCGAUCAACCUGCUCAACAGCAAGGAUGUCAAGGAGGCGUUGCAUACCAACAUCAAUAUGAAGGUGUUGAGAUUCGGGAUGUUGGGGUCGGCUUUCGGGUCGGUCAUGGGUUGCGUGUUUCUGGUGCUGUCGAUGGUGAAUGUGAUUCAGAUCAGGCUGGGGAUGCUUUCGUGUGGCAGCAAAUCCGCCGUCCAUGCUGUGGCGCCGCUUGUUGUUUUGGUCACGACGGCUCUUUUGGUUUAUAUUUCUACUGCUGUUUAUGCUUUUCUUCACUAGCUGCUGAAUGCAUAUUUAUGCAAGUCUCUUGUACGAUAUCAUGAAAGUGUAAGAUAGACCCUUAAGCAAUAUAAGAGCAAUUCCACCCCUAAGGACUUUGCGCCAGCACCUAGCGCAUUUAUCCACUCAAAUAAACAGUAACAGACUCUAAUGAACAGUAAUAGGUCAAGGCAUCUCCACCCCUAAAAAAAUGCGCUAGCACCUAGUGAAAAAAUGCGCUGGCACAAACGAUCUCCAUCCCUACAAAAUGCGCUGGCACCCAGCCCAUUUAAAAUAUUUUUAAAUUUUGUCUAAAAGAAUAAAAAAAUAAAAUAGUUUUAAUUUCGGAUAGGAUUUUUAAUCAAUCUCGUCACGCCACGUGUCAUUAUCUGAACGUACUAUUUUGUGAAUAGAUUUCCGCUAAGAUUUUCAACCAAUCCCGACACGCCACGUGUCACUUCCGUUUUACAAUAAUUUAGCCAAGAUUUCGAUAAGAUUUUUAACCAAUCACGUCAUGCCACGUGUCAUUAUCUGAACGUAUUUUGUGGAUAGAUUUCUGAUAAUAUUUUCGACCAAUCCCGACACGCCACGUGUCACUUCCGGUUUACAAUAAUUUAGCCAAGAUUUUGAUAAGAUUUUCAACCAAUCACGUAGUGCCACGUGGCAUUGUCCAGAACCUCAUCCUUUCUUUUUUUGUCCAUAUAAACCAUACAUCCCUACAUCCAUCCUCACACCAAGCUCAAUCCUUCUUUUUAGCUCAGAAUCCUUGUUCAUCGUUUUCAAAUCUUGAGUUCUUAUUACAAUGUCUUCUUCAAGAAGGGUGUAUAAACAGUUGCAGGAGCAACAACAAAGGUUGUUGGCACAACAGGCAGAAUUGGCCAAUCUCGAGGAAGGUGGAGGUGGAGGUGGAGAUGAGGCUUUCUUCAUGGAGGAGGAUGAGGGUGGAAUAAAUUAAAAUUUGGUGCGGGUGGAAUGCAUAUAAAAAUUACAUAAGAAAUAACAUAAAAAUUACAUACGAAAUUAAAUAAAUCAAAAUAUUGAUGUGGGUGGAAUGCAUAUAAAUAAAUAAAAAUAUUGUCACCUGAUCCGCUAAACUUGUCCCACUACGAAGGUUACCAGAAGCAUGAGAGAUGGCGUUUUUCUAACAAGUAAAGGAUGCGUUGAAUUUUUUCCAACGACCUUGAAGACCUUGACUAGUUCUGGCGUUUUCUCCAUGUACAUCUGUUGACCCUAGAAACUACCAAGCCUACGUGGCGCGCAGGCCGAGUAAUCUAUAAGCUAACUACGUCCUUCGGUGAAUGCGGGGCGUGCCAACUCGUCGGCCGAGCUCGGCCGAGGAGUAAAUUUUGCUGAUGUCGCGUUGGAUGCGCGGCUGACUUCUGCGUCUUGCGAUUGCGGCCGAGAAAGGAACGCGUCUCGGCCUUUUGGGCUCUCGAACCUGAAGACAAGGUUACUAUCCUUACGAAGUUCAAUAUCAAAUUCGGCUCUCAAUGUGCCGAAUGUAAUAACUGUAACACCUCACUUUGCCGAGAAGACUGAUGAGAUGACCUCGACCAAUAAGGAUUCAAAAAUCCUUCUCGACCGAGACUUGGAUAGGUAAUCAACCGUCCUCGCCGCAGUGCUGUUGAUGCCAACGAAAGAUGCUGCGAGACCGGCUGAUUCUACGGUGACAGAGCUAUCUAUGCCGACUUAAGAUAUCACCGGUUGCUUUCACAGUGCUGUUGAUGCCAACGGAAGAUAUGUCAGCGAAAAAAGAAAGAAAAAAUCUCAAGUUGUUGAGUUUGCGCAAGGCAGUUGUAUUCAUUUGCAGGUCAUUUUUCCGUUGUUCGUGACUCUGUAUUUAUAGUGGCUGAUGUACUUGCUUGGCACGGCUAGAUAGAGUUUGACUGCAACUCUAACUCACUAAAUAAAAUUUGAUCCAUAGCUUUUAAAAUUCUGCGACCUCCAAAAUAAAGCCCAUCCAGGCUUUAUCACAUCUAAUCUACCUAGGCUUCUGAUUUUAUUAAAACCUCCAGCAGAAACCUUCACUUCAAUCACACAAAAAGCCUAGUCUAGCUAGGUUUGUUGUGUCAUCAUCUCAACCUAGGCCUAUCACAUCACCACCAAAAUCCAAUCUAAUCCUAUCCUAUUUAGGCUUCUUCAUAAUCUAUGCAACCUGAUCCCCACCAUAUUUUAAAUAAACAAUAAUCAAUUUGCACCACACACCACACAUUCGCGCUCCAGAACACCCAAGUCAGAUUGACUUGUGCUGCCAUGUUUCCAGUUGGAAAUAUAUCUCUUAUCUUUCAUAAUAAAUUACUAUUAAAAGAUAAUUAUGAUAACACCAUAACAUUAUCCUUUAAUAAUAAUAAAAUGAAUUAUCUCUACUUUUCAUCUGACGGUGUGAAACUUUGCUCAUUCAACGGCCUUGAUUACACGGGCCGAUUGUGUAAAUUUGGGUCCAAACAACAUCGCAAAACGCUUUCGUAAUUUUACUCCACAUUUCUCGCUUAUCCAUCACAUUCCCCGUAAUUGGGUCAUGAGUAGUGUGAACCCAACAUUCACACAACGUAAUAUCUUCAAUGAGCCUCCACGAAGACAUUUUUUCUCUUAAAGUGUAGAAAAUAUUGAAAUGUAGAUAGUAUAGAAAGUGUAGAAAAUAUUGAAAUGUGGUGUAAAGGUGGAAGAUGAGGGUUAGGUAUUUAUAGGAAAAAAUUUAACAUUUUUCAAAAUUUUCUGUAAUUUUUUUAAAAUUUUAUGUAUUUUUUAAUAAUUUUUCUGUAUUUUUUUAAUAAUUUUUAAUGAAUUUUAAUAUAGUUAAUUAAUCUGGACCGUUGGAUUUGAAAAAUAUUCAAAUCCAAGAGACAGGGAGUUGCCACGUAGCCAACGGACAUAUUUCUGACCGUUGGGCCUUUUUUUUUACUUUUUUGUGAAAAAAAGUGGACCGUUGAUCUUUGAUCCGACAGUCUAUUUUAAAAGUAAAAUUAAAAUUUUUUUUACCGUUGGAUUUCCAACGGCACAAAGAGAGCCACGUCGCCAACUCGGGGGGGGGGGGAACUGAGUGCGCUUGCACGCGGGCCCGCGUUCUGAAAUCCUGUCGGGCACUCGCUCCAGCGCCUCCGUGAAGCGCACGCGCCAGGCAAACUGCCCAACUUCUUGCUCAGUCUUUUUUGGGCUGGUCCAGAGCCCAGCUCGGGCUGGGUACCAGUCAAGUUGAGGGGGUGGACUUGGUUGACAGGGUCCUGGCCUUGUUUUUGUGCUGGGUCCUGGGCAAAGUCCACUGGGGUGGAAUUUCUCUAAGGGCCAACUUUAUAUUAACUUAACCACCAACCUAAAGAGAAUGCAUAUUUAUGCAACUCUCUUAUACGAUAUCAUGAAAAUGUAAGUUAGACCUUAAGCAAUAUAAGGAGUGACUCUAUGGAUUCAUUUGGAUGUACUUUUAAAAAUGAUUAAAAAAAAAUUUGGUUAAAUUGAUUUGAGUUCCAAAAGCACUUUAAGUGACUUUUUGAAGAAGCAUCAGAUAUGUAUUUCUUGUAGGAAGCACUAAAGUACUUUUCCAGGAUCCAUUUGGAUUUUUACUAAGGAUUGGUAUCAAAAACAUUUUCACCAAAAGCGCUUUCACUCAUUUUAAAAGCACAUCCAAACGAGCCCUAUAUCAACUUAGCCACUAACCUGAAGAAGAUAUCGUCUCAGGAAAUAAGGCAAGGAACUAAAGUUCUUCUACAACUCUACACAACUGGAAAACAAGGCUCACUAAAUGGGGCUUGAGUAUUUCUAUAAAACUUGCGUGUAAAGUGAGAGUGUAGGGACCUUAGUUAUAUAUUGUAUGUGAUGGGUCUUUGAUUAGGAGUCCUCCCCUUAAGAAAACCUUAUCAAAGAUUGACCUUAUCAUCGAGAAUCACUUAUGCAUUAUAUCGGCUAGUAGAGUUCUAAUUUAUCUAAGAGUGUUUCUAACUUGAAUACCGAAGGAAUACAACUCCUGAAAAGUGUACCACAUGUGUCAAUCCUAAUCUCCUUGUUGUCCCAAAAGUCUUUGUACAAAUUACAAAGUGUUUGCUCUCAAAUAGUACUUACAUUCUCCCACUAGAGCAAAUACUUUGUAAAGUUGUAUAAUUAUACUUGAGUUGGAAAGAAUCUGUAUUGGUCAUGAGAUUAGUAUUCGACACUUCUUAGUUUACCAGUCUUUGUCAUUGUCAAGCAUUUAUGUGAACUAUAGGGUAACACACUCAAUUCAUUGAAGAGUACCAUCCCCAUAAUUACUUACAAUAAAACUUACCAACACAUAAGACUCCAGCAAGAUAUAUGAUAUGUAAGACACAGCUGAACAUGUAUUAAAUGUGUUAAACAUUUGGUCCAUUUUCCGAAUUGAAAACGAUCUUUGUGCUUCUAUAUGAAGCCCUUAGGAUGUCUAUCACUUUAUAAUGAAUGAAAAAUCAUAAAGUAUCAUGUAAUAAACACAUUCAUGCAUUAUCAUAACUAAUAGUUGAACUCUUUAAGGGAACUUGAACAACCUUUCAACAUUAUUCUUUACUAGCUAAGAAAACUUCAUCAUUAAUACUCAAAACUUAUCCUCCAUAGCAUAAACUGUAACUGAAUAAAAACUAACAUAAAGGUUAAACCAAUUACAUAACUCCCACUAAUUCGCUGCAUCGAAAUCAGCCAAGACUCUCAUUCUAGUGACAUGCUUCUUAAAGACAAUCAUGAGAACUGCUUUAUUUAAUGGAUCAACAAUCAUUUAUCCAGUCUCCAAAUAAUCGACUUUAACUAAUCCAGCUACCACCUUCUCUCGAGCAAUGAAAUACUUUCUAUCCAAGUUCCUUGUUGCAUUAGACCUCUUAUUAUUCUUAGUAAAGAAUAUGGCUGCAUUGUUAUCACAUAAAUCUGUAUAGGUCUCGAUAUAGAAUCCACAGCUUGAAGCCCAAGUAUGAAGUUCUUCAACCAAAUAGCUUGAUCCACUGUUUCACAAACUGAUAAAUAUUCGACAACUAUAGUUGAUGCUGUCACAGUUCCGUGUUUCACAUUUUUCCAAGAGACCGCACCACAUGCCUUUAGGAAAACAUAACCUGUCAUCGAUUUCAUAUCAUAUGGGUAACCUGUGUCUAAAUCAUUAUAUCCUUCCAAAACCAAACUCCGAGUUCUUCUAUACACUAACAUAUGGUCUUUAGUUCUCUGAAGGUAUCUCAAAACCCUUUUGGCAGCAUUCCAGUGGGCUUCUCCAACAUUGGAUUGAAACCUACCAAGCACAAAGAUGGUGAAAACCAAGUCAGGCCUUGUGCACACCUGUGCAUACAUCAAACUUCCCACCAAAGUACAUUUGGUUUGUCUUCCAUAGUCUUCCUCGCCAAGUCUGUUUUUGGACAUUGCAGUUUACUCAAUUUAUCACCCCCUGAUAUAGGCAUUUAUGUGGUUCCACAUGAAGACCUGUUGAAUCUUUUUAACUCUUUUUCUAUGUAUGCCCUCUGUGACAAUCUCAGUAAACCUCUCAUUCUAUCUUUUUUGAUCUCAAUCCCCAAAACAUGUCGCUUCUCCCAGGUCCUUCAUUUCAAAAUGCUUCUAUAAUAAUGUUUUUGUCUCAUCCAACAAAUUGUGACUAUUUGUGGCAACCAAUUUAUCAUCCACAUAGAGAACUAGGAUGAUAAAGUUGCUCCCACUGAACCUUAGAUAGAUGCAAUUGUCUAAAGGGUUUUCAGUGAAGCCAUGUUCUUUCACAACUCUAUGAAACUUCAAGUACCGCUGUCAUAAUGCUUGCUUCAAUCCAUAAGUGGAUUUGUUGAGCUUGCACACUAAGUUUCUUCCUUCUCCCUCUUUAAAACCUUAUGGUUGUCGCAUGUAAAUACAUUAUUUCAGAUCCCCAUUCAGGAAUGCCGUUUUUACAUCUAUUUGAUGUAAAAUUAAAUCAAAAUAAGCCUCCAUAGACAUGAUAACCCUAAAAUCAUCUUUUGUUGAUACAUGACUGAAUGUUUCUUUAUAGUCUACACUCUCAUUCUGUGUGAAGCCUUUUGCAAUGAGCCUGGCUUUGUGCAUUUCUAUGUUUCCAUUUGAAUCCCUUUUUUGUUUUAAAGACCCAUUUGCACCCUAUGGGUUUUGUUCCUUCUGUAUGUUCCACUAAGUCCCAUACUUGGUUGUUUGCCAUCGAGCUUAAUUCACUCUUCACGCCUUUAUCCACUUGUUUGCAUUUGGUCCUGCAAUAGCUUCUUUGUAACUCAUCAGAUCAUUUAACUCUGAAAGAUCAGUGUCAACCUCUGUCAAAUACACGAAAUCACUUAAGGUUGUAGGUUUUCGAACCCUAGAUGACUUUCUUACAGCACCUGCAACCAUAAAAUUGUCUUCUUGUGCUUGUUGUUGUUGAUGAUUUUAUGUCAUAGCAUCUUCAAGAACAUCUUGAAUAACUGUAUUAUUAUGCAGUUCAGUGUCAUGUGCAGCCUCUAUCUCGUUGUAUGGUUCAUCAGAAUCAUUACUUCUCAUGUUCUCAGUUACUAUAAUCAUUAGUGCCAUUACCCAUGUGUUACGAUCAACUUCCUCAACUGUAGCUUCUAUUUUCAUUAGUGUCUUCUUCAAAUACGAAUUCUUCAACCCUUGUUCCAGAAUCAUUGCUUGCAUCAGACUCUAUGAAAACUGCUUUUCCAAUUUCGACAAUUCUAGUAGUUUGAUUAGGGCAAUAGAAUCUAAAACCCUUCGAUCUCUCAACAUAUCCAAUAAAAUGACAACUAAUAGUCUUGGAAUCGAGUUUCUUGUAGCCUGGGUUAUAGAUUUUUGCCUCUGCCCUACAACUCCAUACAUGCAGAUGGUUCAAACUUGGUUUUCUGCCUGUCCAAAGUUCGAAAUGUGUCCCUUCCACAGAUUUUGAAGGUACCCUAUUAAUUAUAAAAUUCACAGUUUUCACUGCUUCACCCCACAAACAACUUGGAAGAUUGGUUUUACAAAUCAUGCUUCUUAGUUUUAAUUUGCAACCUUUUUUUAUUUUUAAAUUUGUACUAAUUUUCUUUUUAGUUUUAAUUUGUAACUAUAUAUUAAUCUAAAUUUCUAAUUUUUUAUUUGUAACCAUAAUUUAUUUAUAAUGUAACCAUUCUACUUUAUAAAUGUACCACUUUGUUAUAUGUAAAAUGUUCCAAUUUUUGUCUAAAUGUAUCAUUUUUAUGUGAAAUGUACCCAUUUUGUAGUAUAAAAUCUAUAAAUGUAUCAUUUUUCAAUUUCAAAUUAACCCUGAUUUAGAAGUAUACAAUAGAACAUUUAUUUUGUUCAAAAAAAGAAUAUACAAAUUGUGUGUGUGUGUGUGUGUGUGGUGUAUUUUUUUUUUUUAACAAAAUGGUGCACAUUGUAUAUUCUUUUCCUUGGGUACAUUCUUUUUAUUUUUUAUUAAAUAGUUUGUUGAGCCAAAAUUAAUGUGUACAUUAUUUUCCUCUUGUUUUAAAUGUACCCAUGAUUUUUUUUUCUCUUAUCCUUUUUUAUUUGGGUACGUACAUUGUUGUGUCAUGCAGGAGUACAUUUUUGCUGUUGUCAAGUUCAUGGGUACAUGCAAAAUUAAUUUACUAGGUGUAUAUUAUUUCACUUGACACUACUCAUUAAAAUUUGCAAAACUUUGUGCACAAUGGUUUGUUAUGUACAUUGUUUUUAGUCUCAUAAUCCAUGAGACUUUUACCAUUUAUAGUGCGAAAAUGGUGAGAUUUGUUAAAUACAAUUUAAGUUAAAAGAGAAAAUAACUAACAUAAAAUAUAUUAAUGCUAAUAUGCUAAUGUGUACAAAGUUAAACGACUUUGAUCAAAAUAUAAAAAUCAAUAAGGUUUCAAUUAAAAAAUAUUGGUGAUUAGAGACCGCAUCCAAAGUAUCUCUUAUUAUUAAUAGGUAAAAUAAAAACCCAAUAACACUAGCUUUGAAAUAGAAAUCAACUUUCUUUUCAUGGAAGGAGCAUAAACAACAGUAUCGAACUCUAAAUAAAAACCAAAUUCUAGUUUUAGCCUAACACUUCCUAAGGCUUUGACUUCAACUCUCCUUCCAUUGCCAACCGAAAUUUUGACUUCAUCCUUAUUUGGUGUUCUCCUUGUUGUGAAGUCCUGCAAUGAAUUUGUAACAUGUAUAGAAGAGCCUGAGUCAAGCCACCAUUAAGUGCUAGGUAUGUUAAUUAAAUUAAAUUUAAAACAAGCAAAAACAUUUUUACCUUUCUUUACUUCUUGUUUGGCAAGCCAAGCCUUAUAUUUGGGAUAGUUUCUCUUCAUGUGGCCUUCUUUUUUGCAAAAAUAACACUCGAAAACUGAAGGUUUAUUAAGUUUGAAGUUUCUUUUAGGUGAGGGAGCCCUUUUGGUAACAUCCUUUUUGGCAGCAUCAGGGACAUAAGGUUUGGUAGCUUUAAUGGUACUUUGCACGAAGUUCACAUACUCAUACUUCUCUUUUUCAGACUUUUCUUUCUUCAUCCUCUCUUCUUCACUCACACAAAUGGCUAUCAACUUAUUCACAUCCCAUUUUUCACGCAGACCAUAAUAAUAGACUUUGAGUUGUUUAUAAUUCUCAGGCAAGGAAGGAAUUCAUUAUCACAUGUAGGGCUGGAAAAAAAUCCCAAAAAUCCCAAACCAAACCAAAAAAAUCCCGAUCCCAAACCAAAAUUCCCGAAAGUUUCGAGAUGUAAUCCCAAACCAAACCGAAAGUUUCGGUAUGGGAUUCGGUAUUGCAUUUCAUUUUUUCGGUAUUCCCAUACCGAACCGAAAAAAAAAUAUAAAUAUAUAUAUAUAUAUAAUUUUUUAAUUAUAAGAGAAUUAUUUCAACCGUUGAUUGUUUUGGAUUUAAUCUGUGCCGUUGAUUUGUUUUUAGGUCAUAUCACAUUUCACUUUUGUAGUUCCUCCGUUCAUUUGUUUGGAAGCGCAACCCUGAGCCUCCGGUCCUCACCAACGUCGUCCCUCACCAUACUGUCGAAUUCCGACCAGCCACCGGCCCACCACCACACCAUACUCUCAUCUCUGACUCUCCAGCCUUCCUUCACCACACAACCACCGCUCUCUCUCGCGAUCUCUCUCUCUCUAGGGCGAUUGUCUUUCACGGACAGGUCAGGUCACAGAACUGGGGAUCUCUCUCACGGUCUCACCACUACACCGAGUCUGAGUCUCACUCUCACCCCAAAUUAGGUAAUUAAUUUAGUUUUCUGAAAUCUCUCUAUCUCACCGUCACACACACACCUCUCGCUCUCUCUCUUUUCUUUUGCGAUUUUGUCUCUUCAUCUGGAUCGUCUUUGAAAUGAUAGUAUAUAUUCGUCAUUUGCAUGUUAGUAUAUAUUCGUCAUUUGAAAUGAUAGUAUGUAUUCUCUCUGUAAUAUGAAGUUAUGAACAAUCCUCUGUAAUAUGAAAUGAUUGCAUAUUCUCUGAAAGAAUUUUUCGAAUUGGGUAGAAAAAAAUACCAAUUACAUAUGUGAUUCACAUGUGCCAGAAACGUAUCAGAAAUUGGUACCUCAAGUGCAUUGAGUUUUCUAGCCACAUCCACCAUCUUCAAUAUGUACUCUCGCACACUUUGGAUCCCAUCAUAUCUCAUGUUAGUAAGAGCAUUCAUGAGAUUACCUGUCUCAGUUUUUGGCGACUCCCUAUACUUGUCAUCAAUGGACUUUAGAAAGUCUUUUUCAUUUGUUGCAUCAGGAAAGCCACUUUUCACCACAUCUGUCAUGAUCCUUUUGAUGUCAACAGAAAGAUUCUGUUGGAUUUGUGCCAUUUUUAAUACUUGGAUUUCUGACUGGAUGUGCUGUCAUCAGUAGGUGUUGGAGGCUCCUUAGUUCUCAGCGCCAUACCCUAGUCCAUGACUCCUAGAACGAUUUCGAGAUCUUGUUUCCACUUUCUGUAGUUGACACCAGUAAGAGGCUCAACUGUAUUGAGGUUCAUCGAGUUGGGAUUCACUGAAGAAGACAUUCAUUAUGUAAGGAGUAUUAAUCUUUAACCCCAACCUAUAAAUCACCUUUUUCAACAUCUUUAGGCUGAUUAAUAUGUGAAAGCUGUCUUUAAUCACAUCGCUGAUUAAUAUGUGAAAGCUGUCUGUAAUCACAUCGCUGAUUAAUAUGUGAAAGCUGUCUUUAAGCACAUCACUUUAUAGUCAACAAUCGAAUUUUUGUAAUUAAGAUCACAAGCCUUCGUGGUUGAAAAUAUUAAUUUGAUUCAAAUAUAUAAUAUGCUGCUUAAAUAAAUUCGAAGCAUGAAAGAAAGAUCGUCCUUAGAUGAGUGAUCAUGUCUUGAAUUUAAGCACCAUUACUGGUGCAUGUAUCGACUGAAAAAUAUGUAUAUCCUUAUGAUCAAGAAAACUUUAGUCAUCCUUGAACGUGUUUAUAUAUUUUUCCCUGAUGAUACAGUUCCAGUUCCAUAACAUGCGAGACAAAUUAAAAUUUCUUGAUGCCUUCUACGUAGGGUCGAAUGAUAUGUGAGGGCUCUGAUAUCAAAUGUAAGAUAGACCCUUAAGCAAUAUAAGGACUGACUCUAUAUCAACUUAACCACUAACAUAAAGAAGACAUUGUCUCAGGAGAUAGGGCAAGGAAUUGAAGUUCUUCUGCAACUCUACACAAUUGGAAAGCAAGGCUCACUCAAUGGGGCUUGAGUAUUUCUAUAAAACUUGCAUGUAAAGUGAGAGUGCAGGGAUCUCAGCUAUAUAAUGUGUGCAAUGGUCUUCGAUUAGGAGUACUCCCAUUAAGAAAACCUUAUCAAAGAUUAACCUUAUCACCGAGAAUCACUUAUGCAUUAUAUCAGCUAGUAGAGUUCUAGAUUAUCUAAUAAUGUUUCUGACUUGAAUACCAAAGGAAUACAGCUACUAAAAAGUCUACCACAGGUGUCAAUCCUAAUCUCCUUGUCGUCCCAAAAGUCUUCGUACAAAUUACAAAGUGUUUGCUCUCGAAUAGAACUUAUUGAAAAUUGCAUAUUUUUGUCUCCAGGUAUUGAAAUAUCAUUGUAAUGGUAUCUAUGCGAAUUUCACAUAUUUCUUUGCACGGAAGUUCUUUGUUCGAGAUUUUAGGUGACCCUGUUUUGGUAGAGAGUGACAAAUCUUGAAAAGAGGCAACUUAAAAUAGACUUUGCUUCAUUUGAGUACUUAGGUAAUGUUGGUCGGACACUUGGAAUUAGGGGGGUUAUGGGUUACAGAUAUUUUGGAGAUAAACUUACCCAGACUGGCGAUGACCUUGUGGCGAUCUCAUAGCCAAUCGAUCACAUAUGCGUUAUCAUGUGGAGUAGGACUCUCGGUCGCGAUAUUGUUAUGAGAUAUUGUCACGGUAGCAUCCCGUUGCGAUAUCCAUUAAUUCCAUCCAGUUGCUAGUGAAAAAUAUGGUUGACUUUUGUACGACACCAUUAGGUGAUAUUAGAAUACGGUUUUUGGUGUCUUUCCCUUCUUGACGGGAGGAGACAUCAACUCAUCGGAACAGCCAUAAUUGGCCAUGAUAAAUCUGUAUAAACUCGGAUUGACAUGUUCAUUUGGUUGCAUUGGACUCGUUUCAACAUCCCGAUUAACUGUUGGUCUUGGUCUUGCAUUUGAGACCCUUGUUUUUUCGUUUGUCGAACAUUUCCACCCAAAUCGAACUCGUGCUUGACUUGGGGCUAGGGUUUCCACAACAACUAGAAAAGGGAAAUUAUAAUCUCAUUUCAAUUUUUGUUUACUGAUAUGCUACUUGGUAUCAACAUCGGUGAUUUAUUGAUACAUUUGAUACUAAACGAUAUCUGAUUCGAAUGAUUUUUAUAGAGAUGAUUUUCAAAUGAAGAUUAAGAGAUUGAAUGGUUACGAUUAUAAAAUUUUUACAUUUAAGAUAUGUUUUUUGCAAGUGGAGAAAUGAGAUCAUUUCAAUAUAUGAGAAUGAAAGUAUUCAGUGUUCUAAAAAGCAGCCUAGGCAACUCCUAGGUGUUAGGCGGUGAGUUGUCACUGCGACAAUUCCUAAUCAGUCUGAAAAUCAAAACGCUUGUUAAGCGGCUCCUUGGGUGGAGCUAGGUACGGUAGGCGGAAAUUUGUAGAGAGCUAUGCCGGAAUCUGAAUUUUUUUGUAUGCAGACCGACGACACAUUCGAAGAAGAAGAUGGCUUGUCUACAAGUUGUCGUUUUGCCAAAGGUUGUCAGUUGCUGUUUCAGUUUUUUAUUCAAACUUUUUUGUUUUGAGAGCCCACCAUUUUUUUUUUUUGAUUUUUUUAAUGGGAAACUCCCAAUGAAAAAUCAUAUUUUUAUAUUAAAAAGUCAAUCCUGGUACUAUUCACUUUACUUUUUAUUUUGUCUUUAUCAUUAAAACUCAAAAUUUUGAAGCCAUUUUCAUUUUUUUUUAUCACUUUUCGUUUUCUUUUCUUUAAUCAGUAAGUGACUUUUUCACCUUUAUUGUUAUUAUUUUUUUUCUCGUUUUAAGACACCAUUGUCUCUCACCAAUAAUAUUUGUACUUUUUUAUUUUGUUUUGGUUAUGUUUAUACUACAUAUUAAUAAGGGGUGUGUAGAUAUACACACCAUUUUUUACUUCUCACACACCUCUUAUUAAUUUAUAUCCGUUGAUCUUCUUCAUUUCAUCCGAUCCGAAAGCCGAAAAUUGGAAGGGUGUAUGAGAAGUAAAAAAUGGUGUGUGGAGAUCACACCCCAUUAAUAAUAGCAUACCUUUUAUCAAUCAAAAGAUAGGGUAAAAACAAGUAUACGGGUAGAUAAUUACUUAUUUAUAUGAAAUAUAAUAAGUUUACUUAAUCUGUCUAGUUCGUCUAGUCGCUUAGAUGCUAUGUCCUAACUCGUCACUCGUCUAGCUAGGCCGUAGCCCGCUACUCAACUAUAGCUUAGCGUCUUUUAGAGCCAUGCAAUUAUUAUCCUUAAAAAAAAUCUCCAGAUUCAAGAGAAAAGAGAUUAAUUUGGUUCAUCAAUGAAUGAGAAGGAGUUUCUCUUUAAUUCACCAUGUGGCCGAUUUAUGGAGAGAUUUUUUCAGUGUGAUCGAAACAUGGGGUGAUACACCACUUGUCACUAUACAAAUGGUGGGAUAUGUGUGUUAAAAAGUUAAUAACUUAAAUAUUAAAAUUUUGGGUAAAUUACACUUUACCACCUUAUACAACACUUCAAAACAUUUCACUUUCAUACCUCACCUACUAUUUAAUUUUAAUAUAGUACCCCCGUUACAUUUUCCAUCCAUUGAUCCAUUAAGAGCUGGUGUGGCGGACACAUUUGUGCCACGUGGCAAAAAAUUUAAUUUUUUAUUCAUUUAAAAUAUUAUAAUAAUUUACCCCUAAAAAAAACUCAAACUCAAAACCACCUCUCUGCAACCCCCACCCCUGCAAACAAACCCAGAAACAUUCACCCCCACCUCCCUCUCCUCCACUCUCUUCACCUCCCUUCCCAAAAAUCCUUUUCUCAGUCCUCUCCUCACUCACCAUUUCUGACUGUUUCUCUCUAUCUCCCCUCUCUCUCUAGGAGAUGAGUCCUCAAACCCUAACCUUAAUCUCAUGCACUAUUCUCUCUUCUUCUUCCUCUUCCUAUCGCCGAUCAAUUCGUAGAGACACUCGUCGACGAUCUCCGCUCCCACAGAAAAAGCAAGAGCUUGGACGGAGGGGGUGGCUUGGGUGGGAUUUUUGGGCAUGGCGGUGGUCUCCGGGAAGGUAGGGGUGGGGUGGGGGGUUGCGGGGGAGGUGAGGGUCGGGUGGAAUGGGGUGGGAUGGGAUGGGGUGUUUGGGUUGUAGGGAAGGGGGAGGGUCGGGGGGUUCUAGGUUUGUUUGGUUUUUUUUUUAAAUAGGGUAAAUAUUAUUAUAUUUUAAGUGCAUAAAAAUUAUUAUUUUUGCCACAUGGCAUAAAUUUGGCAGCCACAUCAGCACAAAUAUGGAUCCCAUAUUUACCACGUCAUCAUUUAACGGUUUACUUAAUGGAUUUUCUAACGGAUGUAUGAAAUUGAAAUAAAAUGAUAAGUAAAUGUAUGAAAUUGAAAUAAAAUGAUAAGUAAAUGUAUGAAAUUGAAAUGUUUUAAAGAUGUUGUAAGAAAUUGAAAUUGACCACAAACAUGAGGGGGUAAAAUGUAAUUUACCCUAAAAAUUUUCACCACUUAUAUAAAAACACGUGGUGUACCACUCAUGUUCCGGUCACAAUGAAAAAAUUUCCGAUUUAUGGGAUUUUAUGCUCUUAUGAUCUGAACUAUUCAUAUUAUAAAAACACUUUGUAAAGAUCACUCUUCAAAAAAAUCAAUAAAAUAUGAGAUCGUUUAGUUAUCAAACUGUAUAAAAACAUAUAAGCGAAUCUGGUAAAAGAAUUACAAAACCAUCUAUCUAUUAGCUUCAAUCAAUUGAUUAGACGACUUUAUUUUCUAUUGAUCUUUUUUUUUUGGUUGGCUACAGGCAUAGAUUUAAAUAUCGAUAUUAUCGGCGAAAUAUCGCUGAUAAUAUCGAUUUUUCGGGGAAUGGAUAUUUAAAUAGGUAUCCGUGUGAUUUUCGUCAAAAUAUCGCGAUAUUAUCGAUAAUAUCGCGACAUUUUUUGGAACUGUGCAAUCGGACUCUGAGAAUAACGCCGGAGAUGGUGUGCCUAUUCCCGAGCCGAUUUCGUCCCAAAAACCUUGCAAAAACACGAUUUUUAACAUCAAUUUCACAUAUAAACUUCAGAUUUCACGCAUGCAAGAGGUAAUCAACAUAGGGUUUAGUCGGAUCUCACCUGAAAACUUGGGUGUGCCUGGGUGUGGGUGCGAUCGGGGAAGCCGAGCUUCCUCUGCGCGUCGCCGUGCUUCCCAGAGACGGAGGAGAGGGAGGGAGGGUGGUGGAGACGCUGCGCUGGCAUCGGGGUGGACGGAUUUGGGUGUGCCUGGGUGUGGGUGCGAUCGGGGAAGCCGACCUUUCUCUGCGCGUCGCCGUGCUUCCCAGAGACGGAGGAGAGGGAGGGAGAGUUCAGGAGGGUGAGAGUUCAGGAGGAAAGGGAGGGAGAGUUCAUGGGAGGGAGAGUUCGAGAUAGAGAUAGAGUUGAGAACUCUGAGAGAGUGAGGGGUCCGAGAGGGACUCGGGAAAAGAGAGAGAGAUAGGGUGAGGGUUAGUGGGCUGCCACGUGGCAGCGUGACAGAGAGUGAGAAUCAAGAUGAAGGGUCCAGAUUAGAUUAGGAUAAAGGACUCAAUUGCACAAUUUAUAUAAUUUCAGAAAAAGAGUGAAAAUAUAAAUUAAUCUGGGGGUCUAGAUUAGAUUAGGAUAAAAGACUCAAUUUCAGGGAAAAAGUGAAAAUAUAUAAUUUCAGGGAAAUAGUAGAAGUUGUAUUUAUUGGUUAGGCAUAUGGAAAUGCAAAAAAUUGUUUUUCUAAUGAUUCUAAUCAAUUUCAAGAAAAAUAAUGAAUUUAUAAGGGUAAGAUGAGUCUAUAAAAGUGAUAUAAUGAGUCUAUAAGAGUGUCGGUCAGUUAGACAAUUUAGAUUUUUUUAAUCAUUUUUGCCAAUUGGCUUGUUAUCGCCUUUUUUUUAUUAUCAAAUUGGAUUAUUAUUCAUUAAAUUGGAUUAUUAUCAAAUUGGAUUAUUAUUCAUCACCAUGUUUUAUAUUAGGAUUAUUUUUUUAUGAAAUUGGAUUAUUAUUCAUGAAAUUGGAUUAUUAUUCAUUAAAUUGGAUAACUACUCUUCACAAUACACUCACUAUACACAUAGAGAUGAUGAAGAUAGUGAAAAUUUUGAACCUCAUAGGAACUCUAUGUGGUACUAAGUCACUUAUGUAUCUUACCAUGCAAUGUAUAAAGUGUAAAAUAUUGUACUAAUUCAUUAUAUAUAAAUGAUUAUGGUGUGUUUAGACUUCUUUCAUUAAUUACUACAUAUUUUCUACACUCACAAUGUUUGUCAGCUCGCUAUAUAAUCAACUUGAUAAUGUUAAAUCCAUCAUGCAAUGCAUUUCUUUCCAAUUUUUUGUGAUAAACUAAUAGAUAAUUGACUAAAUAAACAUCCUACAAAGUUUCAAUAAAAAUUUCCAAGUUUUUCUUACAAUUUUCGUGGUUUCCAUGUAAUUUUUAUCGAUAUCGAUAUUUUACCGAUAUUUCCAUCGAUAUUUCCGUGUUUUCGGACUACCGAUAUUUCCGAUAUUACCGAUAUUUUCUUCCUUGGCUACAGGGCAUAAGCCCAAACGACAAAGGAAGUUACAUAAGAAUAUCACGAGGCCACGAUACCCCAGCUAUAUUUGCAACUAGCAACUGAUGGCAAGGAUAAGCCUGCUAAAAAAAACCAGACUCAAACUGCAUGACAAACCCAAAUGAACCAAAUCAUCAUCAACAACAUUCUUUUCACGAUAGAUAUAACGAACUUCUAUUGAUCUUUUAAUCCUUACAAAGUUAUUUAUAAUAUAAACGGUUCCAAUAUAAUCAAAAAGUACAAUGAAUUGAUCACAAAAUAUCUUGAAAAAAAACUUCAAUCGUUUUAAGGAGCCAACCUCACUCAAGAGAAAAUCCAAAACCCAAUAACAAAAAACAAAAGCAUCUUCGUUUGUUCCCCUUCGCCCUUCCCUUUCAUUUCCUUCCAUCUUCUCAAGAAACAAACAGAAGGGUUUUUAUCACAAAUGGUUAUUGAAAUUGACUCUCACUAUCAAGAUGAUAUCUGAAAUUGAAAAUCAAUCAAUGUAGUCCUUGAAAAUAGGUGUCGUAAAUCAAUGUGGUCAUUUCGUCACAAUUCUGUUUAAAAUUUCGUUAAAUGCUGACGUGGCAUAUAAAUGGGUCCCACAAGAUUUACAGGUUUUUAUCAUAAAUUGCCCCUGAAAUUGACCCACACCAUCAAGAUGGUCUCUAAAAGUGAAAAUCAAUGAAUGUAGUCCUUGAAAAUAGAUGUCACAAAUCAAUAUGAUCCUUCUGCCACAAUUUUGUAAAAUUUUCUGUUAUGUGCUGACGUGGGUUUAAUAAUAAAUUAAAAAAGUUGACUAAAUAUCUUUUUGCACAAUGAUUUUUUUUUUUUUUUUGGUUAUAGUAGGGCCUACUUCGAAGAGAGACCCUUCCAUAAAUUCUCAAGAGCACAAAGCUUAACCAAGGCCUAAGAGAGGGUUUGGUAAUAGUUUUCAACCAACAAUAGACACACCUCGGUUAUAAUAUUAUUAUCUCAAGGCAGACCUCGUUGUUCUUUGAAUCACCGUACCGCCAGGAAAGCACUUAACAAACUCUCCAAAAUUAAGAUUGUAAGGAUGUUGAUCGCCUAAAUGUUAAGGGUGAUGUCCUAGAAGUCUUUGCCAGUCAACUAAGCCGUCACCAAAAGUGAUCUCGAUCCAAGUUCAAUUCGAUGAAGAGUAUCGAAGUGUGUAAAGAUGGGUGUAUUGAGAUUUUUUUUUAUUAUAGAGAAUAUGCAGCAAAGGAGGUAGACGAAUGUGGACUGGGAUCGGAGGUGAUUACAGGACUGGAUUUUUGGGUUGACAACUAUUUAUUAACUAUUAAAUUAUUAAACCUAUUUUUAAUUUUUUUAAAUUUAAUUAGACUUAUGUGACCGAUUUAUGUGUCAAAUCAGCACAUAACAAAAUUUUUGACCGAAUGAUGACGGAAUGACUAUAUUGAUUUGGGACACUUACUUGCAGGACUGCAUUGAUCGAUUUUCAAUUUUAAAGACCAUUUUGAUGUCGUCAGUCAAUUUCAGGGACCAUUUUGAUGUGGCAAGUCAAUUUCAAGGACCAUUUGUGAGAAAAAAAAAAGAACUUAUGGGACCCAUUUAUGUGUCACAUCAACACUUAAUAGAAUUUUUAACAGAAUUAUGACAUAAUGACUACAUUAAUUUGCAACAUCUAUUUUCAAAAAUUACAUUAAUUGAUUUUCAAUUUCAGAUACUAACUACGAUAAAAACCCCAAAUAUACACCACUACAAGCAACAACAUUAGCAAGAAAAUAAAGAAAUACAUAAACCCAAUAAGCACCAUUACAAUUUCGACGCCAUGGAUGAGUACGGCAUACAACCUCUCUCUCAUGAUUUCAGCUUCAGAAUUUGACAUCUGAAAGUGAAAAAUUAUUUUUUUUGUGUCUUUUCUCUCCAUUUCCAGAUCUGACGACUACCUAGGGGCGGUUCGGUACGAUUACCGUACCAAAACUCUUGUACCAAUUACCGUACCAAAACUCUUGUACCAAUUACCGUACCAAAUUUUCGGUUUGGUAAAAUCUAUUACCAUUACCGUACCAAACUUUCGGUAUACCGAAGUUUGGUAUUGCCAAAAGUUUGGUUGGCAUGGUAUGACAAUGGUAAUUGCCAUUUUGUUUUGGGACAAAAUUUGUUUUUGUUUUUUUAACCCAAUUCAAGGGCAAAACUUUUUUUUUGUACCUUUAUCUCAUACAUUAUAGAUUAAAUUCAUCUAUUAUUCAUCAUUCACAAUUCACACACAUAAUAAUUCAAAUGAUGCAUUAAGAUUCAUCAUGAAAAUUAAGCUUACAAUCCAAAUAAAACUUACGAACCAAAACAAAUAGAAGUUAACAAUCCAAAUAGAAAUUAAAGUUUCAAACCAAAUGAAAAUUGGAAGUAAACUUCAGAAGGGAGAAUUCAUUGAUCAGUUAUUCAAGCUUGAGAUGUUGAAGCUUUUGGAGGAGGCAUUGAACUUCUAGAAAAUUGAAUUUGUGUCAAGCCUACAUUACAAACAAAGAAAACGUAUUAAUUAGUAGCUAAAAGAAUUAAAGUUGAAAACCAUUUAAUAACAAAUUUACUAAAAAAAUUAAAGCAUAUCUUUCUUGUUUUCUCUUCUUCCAUUUCCUUGUAAAAUUGAAGCAUAUCUUCCGUUGGUUCCUUAUAGAAGUUUACUUCGUCUGCCCUAAGCCAACCACUAGUACGCACUAGUGCCUCCAUUAUUUUAGGAGUCAAGGAUACCCUAAAAGAGUUCACAACCCUCCUCCCUAAGCUAAAUGCAUUUUCACUAGCAACAAUAGAAGUGGGGGUUACAAAGAUAUUUUGGCUAUUUGUGAAAGAAUUAGGAACUCUUUUGUGUUUGAUUUCCACAAUUUUAAGAGAUCAAAGUCACCAACAACAAUGCUAAUAUAAGUAGGGUUUUAUUUUCAAAUUAUUGGAAUAUUAUAAAUAUGUGUUAUAUAAUUAUCUAUUAUAUAAUUUAUAAAUUAUAAAUUAUAUUGUAUUUUCAGUAUGAUACGGUAACACCAUGGUAAUAGUAUCCAUUACUAAUACCAUACCAUGAAAUUUCGAUACGGUACAAUACCGUACCAUUACCGUUUAGUAUAAAAAAAUUGGCACAAAAACGGUAUGGCACGGUUGACAAUUCGGUUCGCAAGGCAAUUUGGCAAAAAAAAUCCACCCCUCCGACUACCCAAAAGAGUGCAACACCCAAGACGGCCGCGAAGUGAUGUCAUCAUCGUCGACAACAAGCGUCCACGUCACGGCCCUGGACGGCCUGGUCAACGUGAACUCACUCUUCACCAUCGCCGUCUUCGUGGGGCUUUCUCUGGCGACUCCGGGGCCACAUCAAUCUGAAGGUGUUGAGAUUCGGGAUGUUGGGGUAGGCUUUCGGGUCGGUCAUGGGUUGCAUGUUUCUGAUGCUGUCGAUGGUGAAUGUGAUCCAGAUCAGGCUGGGGAUGCUGUCGUAUGGCAGCAAAUCCGCUGUCCAUGCUGUGGCGGCGCUUGUUGUUUUGGUCACGACGGCUCUUUUGGUUUAUAUUUCUACUGCUGUUUAUGUUUUUCUUCACUAGCUGCUGUGCUGAAAUUGUAUAUAAUUUUGUCUCUGGAUAUUAGAAUAAUGGAAUGUCAGUGGCGGUUUUCUCUGUAAAUUGCACGGAUUCUGUUGCUGAGAAGUUCUUUGUUUGAGAUUUUAGGUGACCCUGUUUUGGUUGAGAGUGAAAUCUUGAAAAUAUGGCAACUUGAGGGUGGUGAGGUCACCGGAGAAUGAACCACGGUGGUGGAGGUCACGGUGAUGGUCUCGGCGUCUCAACACCACGAGCACAGAGAAGGUGAGGGAGACAGAGGUUGAGGUAAGGGAGAGUAACAAGAAAGAGAGGAAGAGACGUGGUGGUUGGGGUGGUGCGUGGUGGGCGUCUCGCCGGAGUGGCGAGGGCAUGCCGGUCUCGGUGCCAGAGUUUGCAGAGGAAUAGAGCUGAGGGAAUUGACAGGGAGAUGGGGUGUCGACGUGUCGUGGCGGCACAAGAGAGGUGAGUGAAGAGAGGGAGCUGCGGAAAUGUGCGGAGGAAAUGGACACAUGGCAGCAAGAGAGUGGUCCAAAAGUUUUAAAAAUAAAAAAGAGAGUGUUAGGAAGAGAGAAGGGACACGGGACGGGCAGGAGUGGGGUGUGGGCCCACGUGACUCACAAAACAAGCCACAAAAUAUCUCUAAACAUGAAAUUACCAAAUUGUCCUUCAUAUUCAUAAAUCUGUAAAAUCUCCCUCGUAACUCUAAAUUCGAUUACGUGUUCAUAUCGUCGCGUACUACGCAAUUACGCAAAAGAAUGAGUCCUACAUCUCUCUAAACGAUGGUCAACGAAAGUCAAAAACCUUAUCUUUAGGGGCAUUUUCGUCAAAUCAUUUUUUUAAAAUUAAUAAAAUAGUAAAAUUAGGGAUGGGUUGUCACAGUUCAUGUUAUAAAACAUUUUGUAAAGGCCAUCUCUUAAAAACAUCAAUUAAAAUAUAAGAUCUUUUAAUCAUCUAUAAAAACAUAUGAAAUAAUUUAGUAAAAGAAUUACAAAACCAUCUAUCUAGCUACGAUAAUUAACUAGACGACUUUAUUUUCUAUUGAUCGUUUUUUUCAGUUGACAACGGGGCAUAAUCCCACAUUUUCUAUAGAUCGUUUUUUUUCAGUUCACAACGAGGCAUAGUGCCAAAAGAAAAUGAUUUUCUAUUGAUCGUUUUUUUUCAGUUGACAACGGGGCAUAAUGGCAACAGAAAAUGAAGAUUACAUAAGAAUAUAAGCCAACCUCGCUCAAGAGAAAAUCGAAAAUCCAAUAACAAGAAGCAAAAGCAUCUUCCUCUGUUCCCCUUCGCCUUCCCUCUCCUUUCCUUCCAUCUUCUCAAGAAACAAACAGAAACCACUGCAAGCAACAACAUUAGCAAGAUAAUAAAGAAAUACAUAAACCAAGCACCAUUACAAUCUCGACGCCAUGGAUGAGUACGGCAUACAACCUCUCUCUAUCAAGAUUUUCAGCUUCAGAAUUUGACAUCUGAAAGUGAAAAAUUAUUCUUUUUGUGUCUUUUCUCUUGAUUUCCAGAUCAGACGACUACCCAAGGGAGUGCAACACCCGAGACUGCCGGGAAGUGAUGUCAUCAUCGUCGACAACAAGCGUCCACGUCACGGCCCUGGACGGCCUGGUCAACGUGAACUCACUCUUCACCAUCGCCGUCUUCGUGGGGCUUUCUCUGGCGACUCCAGGG